rnacentral:rRNA from 1 species
GCACAAGCGGUGGAGCAUGUGGUUUAAUUCGACGCAACGCGAAGAACCUUACCUGGGCUUGACAUGUUCCUGACCGCCGUGGAAACACGGUUUCCCUUCGGGGCAAGAUCACAGGUGGUGCAUGGCUGUCGUCAGCUCGUGUCGUGAGAUGUUGGGUUAAGUCCCGCAACGAGCGCAACCCCCGUCGCAUGUUGCCAGCAUUUAGUUGGGGACUCAUGCGAGACUGCCGGUGACAAACCGGAGGAAGGUGGGGAUGACGUCAAGUCAUCAUGCCCCUUAUGUCCAGGGCUACACACGUGCUACAUUGGCGCGUACAGAGGGCUGCAAGACCGCGAGGUGGAGCGAAUCCCUUAAAGCGCGUCUCGGUUCGGAUUGCAGGCUGAAACUCGCCUGCAUGAAGGCGGAGUUGCUAGUAAUCGCGGAUCAGCAUUGCCGCGGUGAAUACGUUCCCGGGC